CUGUGCUAGGGUGGCGUCCAGGGACCACCCAGGUCAUCUUGCUCGGUGUCUCGCGCAGGACAGUGAGAAUGUUUCUGCCACGCUGAAGUGUUUAAGAUUUAUUUAUUUAUGUAUUUACUUAUUUAUUUAUUUGAAAGGCAAAGUGAUGGAGGUUUUCCAUCUGCUGGUUCACUAUGCAAAUGCUGCAACGGCUGGGGCUGGGCCGAGCCGAAGCCAGGAGCCUGGAACCCCAGCCACGUCUCCCACGUGGGUGGCAGGGAUCCAAGCACUUGGGCCAUUUUUCCUGCUUUCCCAGGCAUGUUAGCAGGGAGUUGAAUCAGAAGCGGAGCAGCUGGGACUUGAACUUGUUCUCAUAUGGGAUGCUAGCAUCGUAGGCGGCAGCCUAGCCAGCUGUGCCACAACCCUGGCUCCUAUUUUUAUUUAUUUGAAAUACAGAUCUUCGGGGCCAACACUGUGGCAUAGUGGGUAAAGCCGCCGCCUGCAGUGCCAGCAUUCAGUAUGGGCGCUGGUUUGAGUCCUGGCUGCUCCACUUCCUAUCCAGCUCUCUGCUAUGGCCUAGGAAAGCAGUAGAAGAUGGCCCAAGUGCUUGGGCCCCUGCACCUGAGUGGGAGACCUGGAAGAAGCUCCUGGCUCCUAGCUUCGGAUUGGCCCAGCUCCAGCUGGUGCAGUCAUCUGGGGAGUAAACUGACCAAUGGAAAAUCACGCUCUCUCUUUCUCUCUCUCUAAUUCUACCUUUCAGAUAAAUGAAUCUUAAAAAAAAAAAAAAGGAUCUUCCAUCUCUUGGUUCAUUCCCUAAGUGCACACAACAACCAAGGCUGGACCAAGCCAGCAACUCCAUCUGGGUCUCCUACAUGGGUGGCAGGGACCCAAGAACUUGGGCCAUCUGCUGCCUCCCAGGUUGCAUUAGAAGGGGUGCUGGGUCAGAAGUGGAGCGACUAGGACUGGGUCCCAGGCUCUCCGAUACGGGCUGCUGGUGUCCUAAGCUGCAGCUUAGCUCACUGAGCCGUAACGCCCAGGCCGUGUUGAAAGUCACAAAGGUGAACAGCUUCAGAAGGGGUCGCCGAACCUGCAGGCAGCUGAUGCUGCGUGAGGCUCCUCCCCUCCCAGCUCUGCAUUUUGAUGACCACCCGAGCCUCAGUUCUUACCUGGAACAGGAGGACCAGAAGGUUGUCCAGGGAAGAUCGGUGACACAGUGGUCUCAACCCCAGGCGGAUGCUGGCCCCUUCAGGCUCCUCCUUGUCGCCGCUGUUACAAGUCAAGUGUCUUGGGGCUUGGCUGCUGUGCCGAGCAGGUGUAGCUGCACCGGGGCCACUUACGUCACAUGUCUGAGUGUCUGGGACUUGAACCUUGAACAUGUGAGUGCUUCCUGCUCACGUGCCCAAAGACUGCAGGCGAGGGCUCAAGUACUGGGGUCCCUGCCUCCCACGUGGGAGACCCGGAUGGAGUUCCAGGCUCCUGACUUUGGCCUGGUGCAGCCAGGGUCAUUGCCAGCAUUUGGGAAAGGAACCAGCGGGUGGAAGAUCUGUCUCUCUCUCUGUAUCACUCUGCCUUUCACAUCUUCAAACCGCAGAGAGGAAAAGCCACUUGCCCAAGAUCAGGGGCUGGCAAGUGACAGAAACGGGGAUUGUGCCUUGGCCUGGCUCAGAGCGGAUGCUCUGCCCCUUGGGCCACGCAGCUGUCCCAACAGCACUGACCCUGUCCCUGAUCUCUAGGCGCAGAUGUGGGGAGUGUACUGGCUGUGGAGGAAGUUCGGGGUUCCCUCGGAGCUGCUAGCGUGGUCUGUGGGCUGUGUGGGGCGGGGCUAGCAGUUCAGGGGAGGGGGCGGAGUCCUAGGAGGCAGGGGGAGGGUCACUAGGACUCUGGGAUGAUAAUGAUGGUGACUCCAGCAGCUGUCAGAACUGAAGUCGGCAUCAAAGAGACACUGAUGGAAGCCAUUCAUGCUUGGCCUUUAUUUGCCUGUUCAGUGGGGUGAACCACAAAUGCACAUGGUGGACGUGGAAGGCCACUGCCCCUCCCCAUCCCAUGCGCGUCAGGGGUGUCAGCCCUCGUAGCUGCCCUGGACAAAAUCGGGCAGUGUGGACCAAGGCGAGAAAAGUGCUGGCGUUGAAGCCUGGCCCCAGCCCCAGCGGGAGGGAGAGGCCCCCUGGUGGAAAUGAGCCCAACCCCGCACCCUGAUUCUUCCCACGUUGGACGCCCUGGCUUGUAGAUGCACGCAAGGCCCGUGGCAGGAUGGACUUGGCAGAGGGGGCCGCCGUUGGGCACCGCCGGGGCUCCGAGGUGUGCAGGCGAGGCCUCCGAGCUGGCGAUGAAGCUGUAGAUGUGAGGAACGGUCGGAGCCCAGUGGGUCGUCAGCCCGCCAGACGGCUUGUAAAGGCACAGGUGUAACGCGUGCGGCUGGGGAGAGAACGCCGGGGCUGCGUGCAGCCUGGGAGGACAUCUGGGAACCCUGGGUCUUUAUCAAGGUGCUGUUUCAGCUCCGGUUUUUGCCGUAGGAGCACAGGAAGAAGCAGGUGUGGGGUUGAGUUCUGGUUGCUGGCGCGAGUGGCAGCAGGGAGCCAGCAGAGGACACGGCCAAGACGCG